CUAUGCGCCUUGCCAGCCCGCUCAGGUGUGCCAGCAGCCGCGGUAAUACGUAGGGGCAAGCGUUGUCCGGAAUUACUGGGCGUAAAGGGCGCGUAGGUGGGCGCUUAAGUCAGGUGUGAAAACUCCGGGCUCAACCUGGAGACUGCACUUGAAACUGGGUGUCUUGAGGGCAGGAGAGGAAAGUGGAAUUCCUAGUGUAGCGGUGAAAUGCGUAGAUAUUAGGAGGAACACCAGUGGCGAAGGCGACUUUCUGGACUGUACCUGACGCUGAGGCGCGAAAGCGUGGGUAGCGAACGGG
rnacentral:rRNA from 1 species